GUUUUUGCUUUCAAUGUGAUCUCAGGAGUCUCUGCAAAGAAGUGGAUUGCCCCAUGUGAAAUAAGGUAAAAUGAAUUGAGACUAAACAGCAGAGGCCUGGGUUCAAUCAUGGACAUGUUUUUCAGAUUGACUUUGGACUGAGCCCCUUCACUCUAAAACUUUCACACUGAGACUCUGGCCUAGGGCCCUCUGACAGUUUCCCAGAACUUCUGUCUCUUUACCGUGGGGAUAGUAUCUUCCUCAUAGUGACUCCUAGUGGUGUUCUGCAGGAAUUACACAUUAUUACUGUAAUUUUCAUAUAUGGUAAUUUUGUAAUCAUUUUCUUUGUGAUGCGUUUUGUAGUGCGUCGUCACAACCAUUUCGUCCUUAUUUUUAUUGAGCUCUAUCACUUGUUGAAACACCGCCCCCUACAGUCCGUAAGGAUAUUGCACCUAACGUAUGGGCAGCUACGUCAGGCCUACUGAAGGGACGCCAGGUGAAAUGAUGCGUCGGUUGAUAAACAACAGUUAACAAUUACGUGUGUCCAUGUCAAAGCGCACUGCUACUGUCAGUAGCCAGGACUCUAGGAAAACAAACCAUGGAGUGACGCCAGCCGCAGCUUUUUGCUUAAAAAAGAAAAAGAAAAAAAAAAGCCAACCGUUUGAACAGACAAUUAGCAACCUCCUUCAGAUGGAACGACGCAGUUAGCUACAUGUUGCUAACACUGUUGCUAAUGUUAUUAGCUAACCUGCUUCUGUUAAGACCACCUAGCUAGCUGUAAUGUAGGAUGGAUAUGUGAAGUUUGGUGAAAAACUAAUUCGCCAAAUUUGGUUUGGAAAUCAACGGGACGCCAUCUGGUAGAGGUGAGACGACUUGGACAGUAUAUCAACGGAUUAUUUUGUGGAGGACACAACGUCCAGAGGGAAUUUCUAUGACGUGGUUAUCGGACACAUUGCCGCCAUGAAGGACGUUGCCUGUAGCCAUGGGUCUUCCUCUUCAGAAACCGGGGCCACAUCCUUCGGAGGCAGGAUUGGAAGACUGAUAUCAUCACAGCAGCAUGACUAGGCUGUCCCAUUUCAAAGGUUCCUUCAAAUGCGGGCGACAAAUGAAGCCUUCUUUUCCUGGGCAAUGAAGGGUCCAACGGGUGGAUCCCUUGUGGUGCAACCUAUCCCAAGAUUCAUUGUGCGCCGGUAAUAAAGGCAAACACCACCGACAGAGAGACACUUUUAAAUCAUCCCAGCCUGGCCCGACUCCAGGUGAGCGAGGAGAGUUGCAUCAUUCAGGCACAUUUGCAUCGAUAUCAGCACUCCUGAGCAAAGGUAGAGCAGCCUCUCCUCCCUCAUUACUAAUUUCCCCUGGGUGAUUUUACUCUGCAACAAAUGCUGCUGAUGCAUCUGCCACAGCCUGAUCACGGACCGAGACCGACAGACCUGCAGCGAGAUGAACAGUGAUGAGGCUUCCUUCGCCUCAGGCGCAGACACUCAAACUGUAUGAUAACAAGCAUUUAACGGUCAUUUCAUAGCAUGCUGCACACUGCUUUACAUACAUACAAUAUGUGCAGCACCCAAAUCACCACGGUGACAUUCUCACAGUUACUAAUGACAUUUGAACAGACGACUUGCAACCGUGAACACACUAUACCCUGCUUCUCUAAAUACCUGGAGCGGUCUCAUGUCAUGAAAAUGCAGCACAUGCAUCUUUGGAAGUGACUGGAAGUGGUUCACCAGUCUGUCAUGCAGCCCCAGCAUGAGAUUAUGACCAAUCCCGCACCACGAAGAACUCCGCUGAACUGGUUUCCACAACUCAUCAACUAGAAAAUGCAUCUGCGUGUGC